rnacentral:rRNA from 1 species
UACGAGAGGCCCAAACGUUAUUCGGAUUUACUGGGCUUAAAGAGUUCGUAGGCGGCGCAGAAAGUAGGGUGUGAAAGCCCCCCGGCUCAACUGGGGAGGGUCACGCGAUACUGAUCGACUCGAAGGCAGGAGAGGGUAGUGGAAUUCCCGGUGUAGUGGUGAAAUGCGUAGAUAUCGGGAGGAACACCAGUGGCGAAGGCGACUACCUGGCCUGUUUCUUGACGCUGAGGCGCGAAAGCUAGGGGAGCAAACGGG